UGUCUGUUUAUUAUUACUGUUUUUAACAUUAAUUUUGUAUUGCAAGUAUUAAAAAAUGUUAAAUAUACUAUUUGUAAAAUUAAAGUAGUAUAAACUAAUAAUAACUGCUUUACUUAUUUCUUCAAUAGUUAAUAGUUGAAAAUAAUAAAGGCUGUUGUUGUCAAAUUUCUUGGGGAAAGAAAAUUGUUAUUGCUUGUAAUAUUACUGACAUUUUAACUAAUGUGUGAUUCACUACAUGAAUACUUAUGCCAAAGUUUAUAUGGUCCACAAGUUAUCUUUAA